AUCCAGUUGAUGAGUCCCAAAUAGGACGAAACGCGUGUUCUGGAU
rfam:Schistosoma rodhaini strain Burundi genome assembly, scaffold: SROB_scaffold0000298